rnacentral:miRNA from 3 species
AGUUCCUAGAUGGACUGAGAAU